rnacentral:lncRNA from 1 species
AAAUAUCCGACAUUUCCUGACGUGGGCUGCCCUCGGGAGCUCCUCAGGAAGGUUUUUAAAGGAAUAUUUAUGGAUGAUCCUGGUGAAUCAGGCCCUAAAAGAGCUGAGAGCCUGGACAGCAUGGCUGGGUUUGUUCCUGCCCCAGCAGCAGCAGGAACAUCCCAGCUCCAAGGCUGGAGGAUGGACGAGGAAAGGGUCAGGACACAUCCCCUGACUGCGAGCUGAAGAAAAAUGUUGGCAGAGCAAAGCUUGCCACAGGAAGAAAAGGUUGUCCUGGCUGUUCAUAUUCCUCCACAUGGGGUCCCGUCGGCUUUUUCCCGGCGAAAACUCGAUUCCCUGUGCCAGCAGCGCAUUAAGACAUCGCAGCUUCAGCUCUCCCUGCUUCAGAAUUCCCGUUUUUUUGAGGUCGAGUCCUGGCUGAGCCUGUGUGGAGCUCUGGUACCACCUAGUGUUACUGGGGGAAGCUCAGCUGCUGGAUGCGGCUUUUCCUCGUUGAUGUCGCGACAGAAGGUGGCGACUGCGGUGAGGAGACGCAGCGACAGCAUCUCCUCCUCCUCCAGCAGCGAGCAGGUCCAGCAGGGCUGGGAGGGGAACAACUCAGAAUCACAGAAUCGGGGAAUAUUCUGAGCUGGAAGGGACCCCAAAGGGAUCAGCCAGUCCUGAACCAUCCCCAAAAGUCACAUUUCCCUGGCGAGGAAACCCUCAGUGGGUCUCCUCUCUCCUGUGCUGGGUGCUCCUGCUCCAGCUGGAGUAACUGAAUUUUAUUGUGAUUA